rnacentral:rRNA from 1 species
GACGAACGCUGGCGGCGUGCUUAACACAUGCAAGUCGAACGGAAAGGCCCUGCUUUUGUGGGGUGCUCGAGUGGCGAACGGGUGAGUAACACGUGAGUAACCUGCCAUUGACUUUGGGAUAACUUCAGGAAACUGGGGCUAAUACCGGAUAGGAGCUCCUGCUGCAUGGUGGGGGUUGGAAAGUUUCGGCGGUUGGGGAUGGACUCGCGGCUUAUCAGCUUGUUGGUGGGGUAGUGGCUUACCAAGGCUUUGACGGGUAGCCGGCCUGAGAGGGUGACCGGCCACAUUGGGACUGAGAUACGGCCCAGACUCCUACGGGAGGCAGCAGUGGGGAAUAUUGCACAAUGGUCGGAAGCCUGAUGCAGCAACGCCGCGUGCGGGAUGACGGCCUUCGGGUUGUAAACCGCUUUCGCCUGUGACGAAGCGUGAGUGACGGUAAUGGGUAAAGAAGCACCGGCUAACUACGUG